CAGCAGUGAGGAAUAUUGGUCAAUGGCCGCAAGGCUGAACCAGCCAAGUAGCGUGAAGGAUGACCGCCCUACGGGUCGUAAACUUCUUUUAUAAAGGAAUAAAUUUGUCCACGUGUGGACAUUUGCAUGUACUUUAUGAAUAAGCAUCGGCUAACUCCGUGCCAGCAGCCGCGGUAAUACGGAGGAUGCGAGCGUUAUCCGGAUUUAUUGGGUUUAAAGGGAGCGCAGACGGGCUGUUAAGUCAGCUGUGAAAUGCCGCGGCUCAACCGUGGACCUGCAGUUGAUACUGGCGGCCUUGAGUGCGGUUGAGGCAGGCGGAAUUCGUGGUGUAGCGGUGAAAUGCUUAGAUAUCACGAAGAACCCCGAUUGCGAAGGCAGCCUGCCAAUCCGUUACUGACGUUCAUGCUCGAAGGUGCGGGUAUCAAACAGGAUUAGA
rnacentral:rRNA from 1 species